rnacentral:rRNA from 1 species
GACGAACGCUGGCGGCGUGCUUAACACAUGCAAGUCGAACGGAAAGGCCCUGCUUUUGUGGGGUGCUCGAGUGGCGAACGGGGGAGUAACACGUGAGUAACCUGCCCUUGACUUUGGGAUAACUUCAGGAAGCUGGGGCUAAUACCGGAUAGGAGCUCCUGCUGCAUGGUGGGGGAUGGAAAGUUUCGGCGGUGGGGGCUGGAUUCGCGGCUUAUGAGCUUGUUGGUGGGGUAGUGGCUUACCAAGGCUUUGACGGGUAGCCGGCCUGAGAGGGUGACCGGCCACCUUGGGACUGAGAUACGGCCCAGACUCCUACGGGAGGCAGCAGUGGGGAAUAUUGCACAAUGGGCGGAAGCCUGAUGCAGCAACGCCGCGUGCGGGAUGACGUCCUUCGGGUUGUAAACCGCUUUCGCCUGUGACGAAGCGUGAGUGACGGUAAUGGGUAAAGAAGCACCGGCUAACUACGUG